AAUUUGAGCGCGUAACUUAAUUGUGCUAAUACUUAAGUGCCUGAUACCAUUAAUUUUCAAACGCAAUUUUCUGUAAUCUUAAACUACUAUUAAAUAAUGGGAAUUCAAGACUGUUACGCU
rnacentral:rRNA from 1 species